rnacentral:rRNA from 1 species
CGGUGGAGUAUGUGGUUUAAUUCGAUGCAACGCGAAGAACUUACCUGGGUUUGACAUCCCGCGAAUCUCCAGGAACUGGGAGUGCCUUCGGGAGCGCGGAGACAGGUGCUGCAUGGCUGUCGUCAGCUCGUGCCGUGAGGUGUUGGGUUAAGUCCCGCAACGAGCGCAACCCUUGUUGCCAGUUGCCACCAGGUAAUGCUGGGCACUCUGGCGAGACUGCCCGGGUCAACCGGGAGGAAGGUGGGGACGACGUCAAGUCAUCAUGGCCCUUACAUCCAGGGCUACACACGUACUACAAUGGCAGAUACAAAGGGUUGCCAAGCCGCGAGGCUGCGCCAAUCCCAGAAAGUCUGUCUCAGUCCGGAUUGCAGUCUGCAACUCGACUGCAUGAAGCUGGAAUCGCUAGUAAUCCCGGAUCAGCAUGCCGGGGUGAAUACGUUCCCGGGCCUU